ACUUGGUGAUGUGAGCAUUUACAAAAAAAGGUUCCCAAAACUCUCCCAUGUCUCAAAAAAUUGUUCACCAUCUAUUAGUGAGAAACUAGUUAUUGUCUUCCUAAGCU